UUUGGAGACGUGAGAUUGUGAUUAGGGCCCAGAAAUAUAUGAGUUUUAUGCUGCAGGACCAGUUGCUCUCUGUGCUUCCCCACAACAUGGAAGAUCUAUAAGGAGCUCACAAUCCCUCGCUCUUUUGGAUUUUAAAAAUUCGAAUAACACUAUUUAUUGCAAUUUUGCCGAACUUGGAUGAUUGAACUUCAACUUUAGCCGCUCGCUCUUUCCACGUUGGCGCCAUCGUUCUGCUGCAGUGUAUACGAUGAAAUUGAAACCUCUGUGGGAAAGAGGUUCAUAUUAAUACUGGGAAUUGCAGAAUUCCAAUGACACCAACCACUAAUCAUACUCGAUGUUUUCCAUCUCAGCGUCGCCACCUCCGCCACUCACCCUCCAUUCCUUCCUUUCUUCAUCCAGGUCUCUCUCUCGUGUCUUCAUUUUUCAUUUCCCAUCUUCCAUUUUUACUGCCUUUUUCAUAUACCUUCAAGUUUGGAUCUCUCGCUCUCUCUCUCUCUCUCUCACUAAAUUUCACUCCAGUCCAUGUCACUCAAUUUUCACCAUUCGUCAUCUCUGUCUCUAUCUAGUUUCUUCAUUUUUCAUUUCCGAUCUUCCAUUGUUACUAUUUUUUCCAUCUCUUCAAGUUUUGACAUCUUCCCUCUCUCUCUCUCUGUCAUUUUUAUCCCCUAUCUUUGUCUAACCACUUCUCUGUGUUCCCCUAAUCCGUGNN
rnacentral:lncRNA from 1 species